rnacentral:lncRNA from 1 species
CCCCCCUGCUGCUGGGCAAUGCAUGUGCGAGCUACGGCAGCAGUACAGUCCCACAUGCUCAUGGUGCCAGGAUCCUGUUCCACACCAUCAUCCAAGAGGCCCGUCAUGUCCAGCACCCGCAGCGCAUGCUUCCUGGGAGUAGGAAUGGUCUGAGGAAGGGGUCGAGGGGCAGAGCCCAUACCCCCUCCCAGCCACCUUGGGACAGGAGCAACGCGCCUGCUCCUGCAUGAGCUCUUGCUAACUUUAUGACCCAAGCCUCCUCAGGGGACCCACUUACACACCCCUGGCCUGACGACCCUUCAGAUAAGUCCAUACCUGCAGAGGGGCUGUGUGCUGGCCCCAGGCUCUGAGGUGUGGAGCCGGGCAGUCAGCCCCAGGAUAACAGCCUGCAUGCUCUCAGUGCUAGGCCGCUCCUGCAGGAGGGCACGGCUGCAGUGGGCACACUCCUGUAGCAGCUGCUGGAAACUGAGCAGCGGGAAGGGCCACGUGUGUACCAACUCGCGCAGUACCACUGUCUUCUUGUCCAUGAAGGCCACCUUGAACAGCAGGGGGAAGAGUUCGCGUGGCAGCAGGGGCAGGGCCUGGCAGGCAGCUGGCUGGCACUGCAGCACCUGCCGUGUGCUCAAGAACACAAGCGUGUGCAUGGUGCUGGGCCGGGCAGACGGCCACCUGCAGGAGAGGGACUUCAGCAGGGAGGAGAGACCCUAGGCCACUACCAAGCCACACACAAGUGGUAGGAAGGCCCAGCAUAGUGCCUGAAACAAAGUCAGCAGUUAGCAGUGGCCAUGGCACAGAGAAGCACCUAUUAGAUGCCUAGCACUGGGCUGGGUGCAGUGAACUGGCAGACAAAGUCACAACUCAGCCCCAGCCCUCCAGACGCACAGGAUGUCUUUAGAGAAACUAAGCGUCAAGCAGUGUGGCAUCGUCAACAACUCGCUUGCUUGGGUAUGCUUUUGACAGAUGCCUGUUGCCUUGCAGGGCCCCCCAUGGGUACUUCAGGCCUCUCAAAUUACAAAGCUGCUUCACAAAACCUUCUUCGAAACCUGAAUAAAGCCCAGGCCUCUCCCCACCAACCUUCAUCAGCAUUAGUAUUGACGGGACACUCCAAGGAGUCAAGCAGCCAAAUCACCUUUCCCUCCCCUCUCCUCACAGACGCUCUCCAGGGCUACACUUGGACUCCACAAAACAACAAAGAGCUGGAAGCACAGAAGCAGCUUCAUAAGCAACAAGGCAGGUUGAAAAGACCGAGACCCAGGAACACUGAGUCCGGAUGAUGUAGCCUAUGAAAUACAAGCUCCCGCAAAAGCUACUAUUCUCCAGAGCGUCACCAAGCACGGAGACCCCGAAAGAAAGCAACCCUCACCUUUGUUUGGCCCUUACCACUGGCCUAAACCUCUCCCUCUUCCCUGGAGAGCCACUGUGGAAAGACCAAGUCUUAAGUAUGUGGCAUUCGGAAGGUGCAAGGCUACAGACUGCUCAGACAAGGCAAAGAAAGCUGCCUCAGCAGCACCCAAGCUGCAGAGAUGCACAAACACUCCCAAGGCCACAAGGUACCUGUGACACAGGGUGCCAGCCCUGCUGCUGCCUGUAGCAUCCUCAAAACUAAAUCGCAGCCAUCUCCCUGUGACAGAUCAGAAAAUGAAGGCCUCGGCCUGGCCCAAGGUCACAGCCUGAGUGACAAGCCAGGGAAGGGGGCUGGGGAAGACACUCUGGCCCCAAGGCCCUUCUUUUUGUCGACUUUUCCACAUACAAGACAGACCAACCGAGCACUUGUCACGGGAGGGCA